UAUCACUGCUAAGAAAUCUAAUAGACAGAGAUGAAAAUAAAAAUACUAGUAUCAAACAACAUUACAUUCAGUCCAUAUAUAUUGUUUGCUUGUGAUGAACGAAGUCUACUCACCCAACUACCAAAUACUAUUACUGAGUAAAACUGACGAAAAAGUCUAUGGAAUUGUGCUUAAAGAACAAUACCAAGAACUCAUGCAGAAUUUUUUUUGCCGAGUUUAAAAGAAACAGAAAACAAAGGAAGAUAACAAAGACGGGAAAUAAGACAAUAUGGAAGCAUCAAACAAUGGACGUCAUUUCUCGAUUUGAACAUUUUUCACGGAGGUCUUUACAAAAUGGCAUCAUGAGUAAUACUUUUGAGUACUAUUGUCAUGUGACAAGUUUAUAUGUACCUUUUGGAUGAUGGUGUGGCUAUUAGUUUGCUAGAAAUAUUUGAUCUAUUUUGGUAUGACAAGCUUAUGUAAUGAAUCCUUUAAUUAA